rnacentral:rRNA from 1 species
GACGAACGCUGGCGGCGUGCUUAACACAUGCAAGUCGAACGGAAAGGCCCUGCUUGCAGGGUACUCGAGUGGCGAACGGGCGAGUAACACGUGGGUGAUCUGCCCUGCACUUCGGGAUAAGCCUGGGAAACUGGGUCUAAUACCGGAUAGGAGCCAUUUUUAGUGUGAUGGUUGGAAAGUUUUUUCGGUGUAGGAUGAGCUCGCGGCCUAUCAGCUUGUUGGUGGGGUAAUGGGCUACCAAAGCGGCGACGGGUAGCCGGCCUGAGGGGGUGGACGGCCACAAUGGGACUGAGGAACGGGCCAGACUCCUACGGGAGGCAGCAGUGGGGAAUAUUGAACAAUGGGCGCAAGCCUGAUGCAGAGAAGCCUCGUGGGGGAUUACGGCCUUCGGGUUGAAAACUCCUUUCGCUAGGGACGAAGCUUUUUGUGACGGUACCUAGAGAAGAAGCACCGGCUAACUACGUG